UCACCUUCGGUAGCCACAGUAGCCAUCAGCUCGUUAAAGUUUGCAGUCUUCCCAACUUUCAAGUAAUAUUUCAAUCUAAAACACCAUUUAUCACAUGUAGCACUUAGAAAUCAACACUACAAAAUUUCUAUUUAUUUAUGGAAUUUUUUUAUGGAAGUUUUUUAAAACCUUCCCAACACAUUUUAUUUAUGGCAAUUUAAAAAAUCUCCAUUAAUUAAAAUUCUAAAUUAUUAAUGAAAAGUAUAUCGUGUGAAAAUGGAAUUUGAGCAUGGUUGCUUGAUUUCCAUUUUGUUCCAUGCUAAUUUUCUCUUUUUCCCCAAAUAAGAGGCGCUGAGUUAGCCGAGAGAGGGGCAUGAAACCCUAAGUUUUCUACCGCUAUUUUUGCCAUCAUUCUCACCGCCGUUUUCGCCUCUGGCACCGUUAUCAUUGCCGUGUCCGUUGCAGUAGAGAGCUUCUAGAUCGAGCCACCUCUUCUAUUAACGCAUCUGUUCUCUCUAUACUGUCGUUGCUGCCAUUGUUGCCACCGCAGUUUUUGUCGCCGUUGCCGCCACAUUUUCUUCCGUCGAUGCCACUGUAGUUGCCGUGGAUUGCGGUGUUCGAGCAAAUAGGAAUUGGAAAGAAUGCCAGUCACUCUCAAUGCAAUUAUCUUAUUGACUCAAUGCAAUGAUCCUUUUGGAGCAGUCAAUAAUCCGCUCUACCAGAUUACUACUAUUAAGCAGGUGAAGCUUUGAUUUUUUGAUACACACUGUGACAUGAACCUUUCCAAUGUAUUUGGACAUAAAUAUGUCUAGAUACAUUGAUUUUCCGAUGUACCGAAAAAGUAAGAGUGCCAAUUGGAAUGGAAGGAGUAGUUUUCUCUUGAUCUCAUUAUAUUUAUUGACCAGUACUCUAUUCAUGCAGCCUAAUGGAAUAGAAAAUGGUCCUUAUGAUUAUACCAGAAAUGGAAAUCUCACUCGAGAUGCUUUAAAAAGGUUUACUGUGUCCUGUUAGUUGUGUUUGUUUACCAUUGUAACUGCCAAUAUUGUGGCAUUAAUGUUUUCUUUUUUCACCACGUUUUACCUUGCAUGCUGUGUUCUCAAUUUGUUGGCGAAACAUGAUGGAUAGAGCCCUAUGCUUCAUCAGUGGAAUGGCUGUUCUGAGUGCUGUUUCUCAUCUUGUUUAAGUGAAAAAAUUGUUGCUGGAGAUGAUCUAUAUGGUGGAACAGACAGGUUGAUGUCCCGAAUAAUUUCAAAUAAUGGCAUUGUGGUCAAGUUAGUCUAACUUACUGAUUGGAAAAGGUGGCUUUUUCCCCCUUACAAUGCACUUCAGUGAAGACCUACCCUAGCAAGCCUCCGAAGUGUAAAUUCCCACAAGGCUUCUUCCACCCUAAUGUCUAUCCAUCUGGAACUGUUUGCUUGUCUAUACUUAAUGAAGAUAGUGGGUGGAGACCAGCUAUAACAGUGAAGCAAAUUCUUGUUGGUAUCCAGGAUUUGCUUGACCAGCCAAAUCCUGCUGAUCCUGCUUAGACAGAGGGAUAUCAUCUAUUUAUCCAGCUAUCUAACCUAAGAAAUUGGACAUUUUUUUCUUUCUUUUGUAGUAACUUUCAGAGUUUAAAGAAUGACUGAUCAUAUAAUCCAUACUGAUCAGGGAUAUCAUUUGCUUUUCACACUAUUUUUCUUGAUAAUUAUCUUGAUAUUUGAUCUUUAUCUUGCAAUUUGUAAUCGAUUAAAAGUUUUUAUGAUAUAUUAUUAGGAUAUUGGUGUGGGAAGAUGGAUUCUGCAACUUUGCAGCGUCAGCAGCAGCACCUGAAAUAAACUCUGGUUGAUAGGGAAAGUUGCUGCAGAUCACAGUCACAAAUGGAUAUACAAAGAGCCUAAUGAACAAGAAAUCAACUUCUUGUCAGCGUGGCAUAAUUUGGCUGAUUCACAUCCUAGGACUUGGGAAGCACAGUUCCAAUCUCGAAUAAAAGACCAUAGCUCUCAUUACUGUAAGAGAAGGUGUUGUUCAAUUGGGAGCAAUUCACAAGGUGAUUGAGGACUUGAGCUAUGUGGUUCUACUGAGGAAGAAAUUCAGCUACACAGAAAGCAACAUAAAUUAACUUGAUAAUGUUAAAAGGUCUUUCAGGAUGGGGGACCUUCAGUGUAAUUAUAUACUAUUAAUGUUAAAAUUUUAGAGCUUAGUUUGUGCCUAUGCUUUAAAUUUUUUUAUGUGUAUUUGUUUUAUGUAAUUAGAUGAUAUUGAAAUAUUGAAGUUGUUUUAUUUUACUUUUUAAAAAAAAAAAACAGUAAUAGUUAUGUAGCACAAUACCAUAUGUAAUUAUGUUUGGAACUAUUGACAUUGAGAUUUUUUUUUA